AAGCUAUUCAUGUGAAAUUCCAGUUGCAGAAGGAGUGCUCGUUCGGGCAGGAGUUCCUCAUUGUAGGGGAUGAUCCUAUGUUCGGUUUGUGGGAUCCUGCAAGCGCAAUACCGAUGAUCUGGUCAGAUGGGAAUGUGUGGACUGUUGAGCUGGUGAGUGAAAUCUACUAAAAAGUGUUUUUUUUUUUUUUUUUUUUGUGUUGGUCAAGUGUAGGCCGAAUUUGUGGUUUAAUGUAAUGCCUUUGUGUUUGAUUAGGAUAUACCGGUUGGGAAAUCGAUUCAGUUCAAGUUCAUACUAAAAGAAAGCACAGGGAAUAUCUCAUGGCAGCCUGGCCCUGAUCGGAUUUUCCAGACCUGGGAAACUAGGAACAGGAUCACUGUUUCUGAAGAUUGGGCAGAUGCUGAGCUUCAGAAAAUAAUAGAGGAAGAUCGGGUUUCAAAUCAAAGCGAUGGUUCAAAUGUUAACGCAGAUAUGUUGAUUAUGGAUGAGAACCUGACACAGCUGAAUGGUGAACUGGCCUUCAAUACAACCAAUGAUCCUAAAAUCACCAAUAGUAACACUGAUUCGGCAGAGAACCCAUCAGUAGAACCAAGGAAGGAACAAAUUGGUGCUGAUAAUGGUUCUCCUUCACAAGAGAAUAUGACCCCUAAAUGGCCAAAGGCAUACGUGGAACCAUACAAGGAACGAGUUGCUGCAAGAACUGCAGUGCUUAAUGAAGAGAGAGUUAUUUUUCCGAGCAAGGAUUCUGCAGCCAUCUCAAGUAAGGAGUUGUUGGUGGCAGACAACAUUUUCGGAAAUAAUGGUAGAGCUGCAACAGUAAUGAACCUUACGAGCACUCACAUCGAGGGAAGCCUAGUUAACCAUGAAGAAGAUCCUGUUCUGGUACCUGGGCUGACUCCUUCACCAGCUGUUCCAAAUGAAGAAGUGAACAAAGAGGGAAUCGAGAAACAGAUGUCUUUUGAUGGCUCGGUUGGAGCCUUUGAAGCUAAGGAUCGUAAUAUGCCAGAGGUAACUGCUUGAUGAGCGUGAAGUAUCUUUUAUCUUUUUCUGUUUCUUCUUGUACUGCAUUCACCUCAGCCUGAAAUAACAAUCCAUUCAAUUUCCACAAAAUCGCGAGUUGUCAAGGGCUAUAGGAGAGAUUGAAUUACUAGGUAGUUUUUGGUUUCAUCUUGUAUGUUGUUGGAAUCUAUGUUUUCCAUGAAGAGAAUUUCAUGAUGAUGAUGUAUCGCAAGGCAAUUAUUUAAUUUCAUCGAAAUUGAGCAGUCAUCUAUAUAUUUUCAUGAAGAAUUGUUCAUGUAUUUUUGUUAGACCAUGUUCGUGCAAUAUCAUUGCAGUGUAAACGUUGUAUGCUACUAUACAAAUCCGUAGCCAUGUAUUCUCCUAUUGCAAAUCCAAACUGCGCUGUCUGAUUCAACUGAAACUAUUAACCCUCGCAAUAUGACAACGAAUUCUCUAUCAAGCAUUUCGUUUAUAUCUUUUGUUUCUGCUGGAAAUUCAUGAGCAUUUAGAGGAACCCUAUUCCUAAAAACAUGUGAAAGAGUUCAUGAUGAAUGAUUUCGUUGCUGUGCAUAAGGCCAAAGAGAAGUGGAAUCUUCGGUUCUUGAAUUUGGUGUGUUUUCUGAAACAGAGCAAGCCCGUGAUCAGACCGAUCAUUUGCCUCUCAUCAAAAACCCAGGUGGAUUCUUUUAUCUUUUUUCUGAAUAGUUAUCAUAAAUUCAGUUUUUUCAUUUCCUGGUUUUUGAAAUUUUGAUGAAGUUUCCAUUUUCGCUUUCUCCGUUUUCAAAAAUUCUGGAGUGUGAUGUUGUUCUUGUUUUUUGUCAUCAUUCUUUUCUUUGUGUAAAGUUUAGGAAUCUUGCUUUUUAGGUUGGGGCUCAAGAGGGUUUUGCUAGAUUCUCAUUAUUUUUUCCUUUUUUUGGAGUAGAUUAUUAUAUGGAAGCUUUAUUAUAUAAUCAUGUGAUUUUAUUUGUUUAAUCUUGUCUAAGCCGACAUUCACCUCUCCCAGACCCUGCGUAAAGCGGGAGCCUUGUGCACUGGAUACGACCUUUUUAAUCUUGUCUAAGCCUUCUGAUAUUUGUCAUAAUUUGUUUUCUUUCUUUAGGGAUGUAGUCAUCAUUUAGAAUAUUUGUUUGAAGAAUUUGUUUCCAUGUCAUAAAGUGUUAAUGGUUAUUAAGUUAGUUACUGGAGAAUAAACUUGCACUGAGAUAGUCAAUCUGAUUUCUGAGCAUUCUCUCUGCAGACAGAAUUGGAGAUUGCAGAUUCUCAAAUUCAGGAAACAUGUAAGUUCAUGCUGUUUCUUUUAAAAUAUUAUAUAAUACAUACAUACAUACAUAUAUAUAUAUAUGUGUGUGUGUGUGUGUGUAUGUGCAUAUUAAUCUUACUAACAAUACCAUGUCGUGCAGAUCAUACAAAAACUAUUCGUGUGAGAUUCCAGUUGCAGAAGGAGUGCUCGUUCGGGCAGGAGUUCCUCAUUGUAGGGGAUGAUCCUAUGUUCGGUUUGUGGGAUCCUGCAAGCGCAAUACCUAUGAACUGGUCAGAUGGGAAUGUAUGGACUGUUGAGCUGGUGAGUGAAAUCUACUAAAAAGUGUAAUUUUUUUUUUUUUUUUUUUUGGGUCUAGUAUAGGCAGAAUUUGUGGUUUAAUGUAAUGCGUUUGUGUUUGAUUAGGAUAUAUCAGUUGGGAAAUCGAUUCAGUUCAAGUUCAUACUACAAGAAAGCACAGGGAAUAUCUCAUGGCAGCCUGGCCCUGAUCGGAUUUUCCAGACCUGGGAAACUAUGAACAGGAUCACUGUUUCCGAAGAUUGGGCAGAUGCUGAGCUUCAGAAAAUAAUAGAGGAAGAUCAGGUUUCAAAUCAAAGCGAUGGUUCAAAUGUUAACGCAGAUAUGUUGAAUAUGGAUGAGAACCUGACACAGCCGAAUGGUGAACUGGCCUUCAAUACAACCAAUGAACCGAAAAUCACCAAUAGUAACACUGAUUCGGCAGAGAAACCAUCAGUAGAACCAAGGAAGGAACAAAUUGGUGCUGAUAAUGGUUCUCCUUCACAAGAGAAUGUGAACCCUAAAUGG
rnacentral:lncRNA from 1 species